CUAAGGAGUGUGUAACAACUCACCUGCCUAAGCAACCGGUCCUGAAAAUGGAUGGCGCUCCAGCGUCGAGCCCAUACCCGGCCCUUUCUCUAACGUUUCGGAUACGGAGAAAGGAGUAGGAGGGUCGCGGCGGAGCGCGUAGAAGGUCAGGGCGCGAACCCGACUGGAGCCUCCGCCGGUGCAGAUCUUUGGUGGUAGUAGCAAAUAUUCGAGUGAGAACCUCGAAGACUGAAGCACGGAGAAGGGUUCCAUGUGAACAGCAGUUGAACAUGGGUGAGUCGGUCCUGAUUCACUUCCUAAUGGAAUUAUUAAAAGCUUCUGUUAUUAUUUGAGACGAGAAGUAUUGGAGAAUGGGAAAAGGGUUAAUAUUCCCUUACCCGGACACGGAGAUAGGGGCACCCGUGUCCCAAGUGCGGUAACGCAAACGAACUCGGCGACGCCGUCGGAGGACCCGGAGAAGAGUUGACUUUUCUUCGUAAGAGCUCGUGUCCCUGGAAUCUCGUCACGAGGAGAUAGGGACGCUGUUCUCGUAAGAGCACGGUCGCUGCUGCCGUGUCCGGUGCGCCUCCGCCGGCCCUUGAAAAACCGAGGGAGAGAGUGUGAUUUUCGUGCCGGUCCGUACCCAUAUCCGCAGCAGGUCUCCAAGGUGAACAGCCUCUAGUCUCUAGAACAAUGUAGGUAAGGGAAGUCGGCAAGUUCGAUCCCUAACUUCGGGAAAAGGAUUGGCUCUUGUGUUUCCGUCCUCGCGGACCUCUUUUGCCGUAUUUCUUCUCGUACUUUUCGGGGACUGACCGCCCUCUCCGGAGGCGUGGUCGGACCUCACGAGGACGGAGGGAAGAGGAAAGAGGGUGGCCUCGCUCCUUCGAGAGCCGGGGCUUGUGCCGCGGGACAUCGUGGAAACGAACAAGAACUGGCACGGACUAGGGGAAUCCGACUGUCUAAUUAAAACAAAGCAUUGCGACGGCCGGAGAACGGUGUUGACGCAAUGUGAUUUCUGCCCAGUGCUCUGAAUGUCAAAGUGAAGAAAUUCAAUGAAGCGCGGGUAAACGGCGGAAGUAACUAUGACUUUCUUAAGGUAGCCAAACGCCUCGUCAUCUAAUUAGUGACGCGCAUGAAUGGAUUAACGAGAUUCCCACUGUCCCUAUCUACUAUCUAGCGAAACCACAGCCAAGGGAACGGGCUUGGCGAAUUCAUCGGGGAAAGAAGACCCUUUCGAGCUUGACUGUAGUCUGACUCUGUGGCGAGGCAUUAUUGGCGUAGUCUAGGUGGGAGUCUUUUGCGAGGCGAGUCUGUGAAAUACCACUACUUUGAUCGCCUUGUUACUGAUUCGGUGAUGCUCUGUGGUCCGUCCUACUUGGAUGCGACGUGUUAUGUGAACUGUAACCCCCGGUUCAUUGAGACCGGAGGGGAAGAGCUCCGAAGACAGUGUCAGGCAGGCAGUUUGUCUGGGGCGGAACAUCUGUCAAAAGGCAACGCAGGUGUCCCAAGGCCGGCUCGGCCGGGACGGAAACCUGGCUUAGAGCAAAGGGGCAAAAGCCGGCUCGAUCUCGUUCUUCAGUAAGGAAGGGGACCUCGAAAGAGGGGCCCAUCGAUCCUUUCGAUGCGUGAGAGUCUCACGCGAGAGGUGUCAGAAAAGUUACCGGAGGGAUAACUGGCUUGUGGCGGCCAAGCGUUCAUAGCGACGUCGCUUAUUGAUUCUUCGAUGUCGGCUCUUCCUAUCAUUGCGAAGCAGAAUUCGCAAAGCGUUGGAUUGUUCACCCACUAACAGGUAACGUGAGCUGGGUUUAGACCGUCGUGAGACAGGUUAGUUUUACCCUCAUGAAGACGGGUCGUCGCGACGGUAAAAUCUGCCCAGUACGAGAGGAACCGUAGGUUCGGACAUUUGGUACUGCGCUCGGUGGUGCCGCCGGUGGCGCGAAGCUACCAUCCGCUCGGAUAACGGCUGAACGCCUCUAAGUCGGAAGCCGUCCCGAGAACGGUGAGGAUAUCAUUCCGUGCCCCUCGCGUCGAACGGCAGCUCUAGCCCCUCGAUGUUCCCCCCUGCGGCCCCGCCGUCGGGGAGCGCGAGCGGGCGAAAGUGGCCCCUUCGCACGCCCGAGACCUCCGGGACCCUCCGUAGACUCCGAGGGUCCUGCUCCUGCGAGCCUGCCUCCGGGCAGACGAGUGAUGUGAGUGGGCGUAGAGUCGUCUGCAGACGACGUUCUUGCUGGACGGGGUGUCGUAAGUAGCAGAGCACCCACCAUAGUGCGAUCUACUGAGACUCAUCCCU
rnacentral:rRNA from 1 species